rnacentral:rRNA from 1 species
GGAAGGUGGGGAUGACGUCAAGUCAUCAUGGCCCUUACGACCAGGGCUACACACGUGCUACAAUGGCGCAUACAAAGAGAAGCGACCUCGCGAGAGCAAGCGGACCUCAUAAAGUGCGUCGUAGUCCGGAUUGGAGUCUGCAACUCGACUCCAUGAAGUCGGAAUCGCUAGUAAUCGUGGAUCAGAAUGCCACGGUGAAUACGUUCCCGGGCCUUGUACACACCGCCCGUCACACCAUGGGAGUGGGUUGCAAAAGAAGUAGGUAGCUUAACCUUCGGGAGGGCGCUUACCACUUUGUGAUUCAUGACUGGGGUGAAGUCGUAACAAGGUAACCGUAGGGGAACCUGCGGUUGGA